rnacentral:rRNA from 1 species
ACGAACGCUGGCGGCGCGCCUAACACAUGCAAGUCGAACGAGCGAGAGAGAGCUUGCUUUCUCGAGCGAGUGGCGAACGGGUGAGUAACGCGUGAGGAACCUGCCUCAAAGAGGGGGACAACAGUUGGAAACGACUGCUAAUACCGCAUAAGCCCACGGGUCGGCAUCGACCAGAGGGAAAAGGAGCAAUCCGCUUUGAGAUGGCCUCGCGUCCGAUUAGCUAGUUGGUGAGGUAACGGCCCACCAAGGCAACGAUCGGUAGCCGGACUGAGAGGUUGAACGGCCACAUUGGGACUGAGACACGGCCCAGACUCCUACGGGAGGCAGCAGUGGGGAAUAUUGCACAAUGGGGGAAACCCUGAUGCAGCGACGCCGCGUGGAGGAAGAAGGUCUUCGGAUUGUAAACUCCUGUUGUUGAGGAAGAUAAUGACGGUACUCAACAAGGAAGUGACGGCUAACUACGUGCCAGCAGCCGCGGUAAAACGUAGGUCACAAGCGUUGUCCGGAAUUACUGGGUGUAAAGGGAGCGCAGGCGGGAAGACAAGUUGGAAGUGAAAUCUAUGGGCUCAACCCAUAAACUGCUUUCAAAACUGUUUUUCUUGAGUAGUGCAGAGGUAGGCGGAGUUCCCGGUGUAGCGGUGGAAUGCGUAGAUAUCGGGAGGAACACCAGUGGCGAAGGCGGCCUACUGGGCACCAACUGACGCUGAGGCUCGAAAGUGUGGGUAGCAAACAGGAUUAGAUACCCUGGUAGUCCACACCGUAAACGAUGAUUACUAGGUGUUGGAGGAUUGACCCCUUCAGUGCCGCAGUUAACACAAUAAGUAAUCCACCUGGGGAGUACGACCGCAAGGUUGCAACUCAAAUGAAUUG